GCCAGGUGGUCAGGUAGAGAAUACCAAGGAGAUCGAGAGAAUCGUGGUUAAGGAACUCGGCAAAAUGCCCCCGUAACUUCGGGAGAAGGGGGGCCUGAGGCGUGAAGGGAUUUACUCCUGGAGCGUUUGAAGGCCGCAGAGACCAGUGGGAAGCGACUGUUUACUAAAAACACAGGUCCGUGCUAAGUCGCAAGACGAUGUAUACGGACUGACGCCUGCCCGGUGCUGGAAGGUUAAGAGGAACGGUUAGCCGUAAGGCGAAGCUGAGAAUUUAAGCCCCAGUAAACGGCGGUGGUAACUAUAACCACCCUAAGGUAGCGAAAUUCCUUGUCGGGUAAGUUCCGACCUGCACGAAUGGCGUAACGACUUCCCAGCUGUCUCAACCGCGAACUCGGCGAAAUUGCACUACGAGUAAAGAUGCUCGUUACGCGCAGAAGGACGGAAAGACCCCGUGACCUUUACUAUAGCUUUGUAUUGGUGUUCGGUGUGGCUUGUGUAGGAUAGGUGGGAGACUUUGAAGCUUGGACGCUAGUUCAGGUGGAGUCAUUGUUGAAAUACCACUCUGGUCACUCUGGAUAUCUAACUUCGGACCGUAAUCCGGUUCAGGGACAGUGCAUGGUGGGUAGUUUAACUGGGGCGGUUGCCUCCCAAAAAGUAACGGAGGCGCCCAAAGGUUCCCUCAACCUGGUUGGUAAUCAGGUGUCGAGUGUAAGUGCACAAGGGAGCUUGACUGUGAGAGUGACAACUCGAGCAGGGACGAAAGUCGGGACUAGUGAUCCGGCAGUGGCUUGUGGAAGCGCUGUCGCUCAACGGAUAAAAGGUACCUCGGGGAUAACAGGCUGAUCUUGCCCAAGAGUCCAUAUCGACGGCAUGGUUUGGCACCUCGAUGUCGGCUCGUCGCAUCCUGGGGCUGGAGUAGGUCCCAAGGGUUGGGCUGUUCGCCCAUUAAAGCGGUACGCGAGCUGGGUUUAGAACGUCGUGAGACAGUUCGGUCCCUAUCCUCUGCGCGCGCAGGAAAUUUGAGAAGAGCUAUCCCUACGAGAGGACCGGGAUGGACGAACCUCUGGUGUGUCAGUUGUUCCGCCAGGAGCACCGCUGAUUAGCUACGUUCGGAACGGAUAACCGCUGAAAGCAUCUAAGCGGGAAGCCGGCUUCAAGAUGAGAUUUCCAUGGCUUAGGCCGAGAGACCCGCAGCUAGACUACUGCGUUGAUAGGCUGGAUGUGGAAGUGGGGACUAAAGACCCAUGGAGCUGACCAGUACUAAUAGGUCGAUAAAUUG
rnacentral:rRNA from 1 species